rnacentral:rRNA from 1 species
AGAGUUUGAUCCUGGCUCAGGAUGAACGCUGGCGGCGUGCUUAACACAUGCAAGUCGAACGGGCUCAUAUUGAAACCUAGUGAUUUAUGAGUUAGUGGCGGACGGGUGAGUAACGCGUGGAAAACCUGCCGUAUACUGGGGGAUAACACUUAGAAAUAGGUGCUAAUACCGCAUAAGCGCACAGCUUCGCAUGAAGUGGUGUGAAAAACUCUGGUGGUAUACGAUGGUUCCGCGUCUGAUUAGCUUGUUGGUGGGGUAAUGGCUCACCAAGGCGACGAUCAGUAGCCGGCCUGAGAGGGUGAACGGCCACAUUGGGACUGAGACACGGCCCAAACUCCUACGGGAGGCAGCAGUGGGGAAUAUUGCACAAUGGGGGAAACCCUGAUGCAGCGACGCCGCGUGGGUGAAGGAGCGUUUCGGCGCGUAAAGCCCUAUCGGCAGGGAAGAAGGAGGACGGUACCUGACUAAGAAGCCCCGGCUAACUACGUG